CGUACCCGCGGAGGUGUACGUGGGUAUUCGUUUGUUGUACAGGCUCCACUAAGCACAGCCUUUCGCCCGACUUCGGUUCGAAACGCGCAGUGUCCGCGGCGACGCCUGCUCGGCUGCUGCUGUUGUGCUGCAGCUAAAGUCACGUGGAAAGGCCCUUUAAGUUUCCAUAGAGAGAGGCCUCUGCGUGUCACAUGAUGGACAUGAUAUAAUGAAACAGCAAGGAGAGGAAAAAAAGCGAAGUGUGUCCUGGGUUACAGAAACACUGAUAAACUACGCAGUAUACUGCCAACAUCCCGCACGCUUUGACGAUGGGGAGACCCAACCGAGAGGAACACUAGGAGCGGCAACAACCCACGUUUAACCGCAUCCUACGGAGGCUACCCUGGUUGGCGGUGUCUUCGGCAUCCCGGGAUUGCACCUGCUUUUAGCUGUUCUGCCUUUUAAAUAAUUUUACACGGGAGUAAAAUGCUUUGCGAACUACAUUUGUAUUUCUUGGUGGCAAAGAAGAGUGCUUGAGGAAAACGGGGAAACGUAUAUUUGAAUGUUCAAAAAGGAUGAAGAGUCAAACCAAUUUCAUGGCCAAUUCAGUCACUUGAAUGCCAGCCUGCUGACGGCCACAAUGAGUCACAACAGGGGGGCUGAAGAAGCAUACUGAGGAAAGAAGACAGGGAUUCUUAAGUAUGCUACGCAGGACUUAGUGGUUUCCACGACAACUACCUGUGGCACAGAGAUGAAAGCUGCUGUGUACAAAACUGAGGAGGUUUUAACUAAUGUAUUUCUUGAAGAUAAAAUAUCCUUUGGUUCAUUGCCUGGAAUGGUGUUUUUCAAAUCCAGUAGGAUCACUUGUACAUAAUGUUAAAUGAAAUUGAAGUACAUUUGGUGAAGGGCAUUACCUUCUGAACUCACUUGCAGAAUAAAGACGAGGAUGAGUGAGUACUAUCAAAUCAUUUUUGUAAAUUCUAGUAGUGUUAUAUUAAAAUUUGAAAGAGAACUGUCAAAAAUAGCCUUUACCAUUGCAUAUCACACAUUUGUUUGGGUAAAUGUGAGACAUAAAUGGAGAAUGCACUAUGCAUUCAUCAUCGGUAUAACAAAAAAUACCGUUGAGUAAUUCUGUUUAAAUUGGGAAGAUUAAUUUGUGGAGAAGAAGACGACCACAAAGCAAGGUGGGUGAGUCAGAGUAAAAGUUUGUAUAGCAUGCAUGCAACAAUUGAAGACAGGAUUUAACUCAUUUUGUGUAGGGGAUAGUGAGGGCCCCACAAAGAGCUCUUAUUUUGGGUUGGCCACCAGAGAGGGAAAAGAAAAAGAAAAAUCAAAAGAAGACAAAUGAAUUCAGACUCAUCUUGUGGUCAAGUGAGUCAGUGGAUAGUAAUUGAUGGUUAGCCUGGCACGUGUACGGCUGUCUAUGCUUCCUUUCUCCACACUUACAUUUGCAAUUUGUUUGCUCUGCAGCUGCCUUGAAAUUGAAAUUGAAUGGAGUGAAUUAGAUUCCUCUUGUGUGAUUCACUUCCACAGUAGAGCAAGGAGCAGAUUACUAGCAGGGAAGGAUCAGAUUACAAAAAAAAAGUUAGGAAGGAAUGUCUGAAUAAUAGAACAUCAUGUUCUGUGGGACCUAUAAAGUUAGAGAGUUAGUGUUAACUGAAACAGUAACCUGAUCAGCACGAGAUGAAACUUGUCUCAUUUUAAAUGAUAUUUUCUGGAUAUAAAGAGUAACACAUCAGAAUGUGCUUGUUGGCUUUCUCACACUUAAAAAUCAGCCAGUUGGAGGUCUGCUGUUACAAGCUGUGCCUGAAUAUGGAUAUGGAUUCUUUUCUUCAUAAUCACAGACUGAUAAGCAGACAGUCUGAUCAGACAUUUUAUUAAGACAAUGGGGUGGAAAAAAGUGGUUCUUCACUGUCCUAUGAUGCCAUUCCAGCUGACUUUGUCUGUUUUGUGGUAAGUCACCUGACUUCUGUAAGCUGAUUAAUUUUAAAGCUACAGUUUUUAACUGUACGAUGGGUAA